rnacentral:rRNA from 1 species
GAUGAACGCUGGCGGCGUGCCUAAUACAUGCAAGUAGAACGCUGAAGGAGGAGCUUGCUCUUCUGGAUGAGUUGCGAACGGGUGAGUAACGCGUAGGUAACCUGCCUGGUAGCGGGGGAUAACUAUUGGAAACGAUAGCUAAUACCGCAUGACAACAGUUAUUGCAUGAUAACUGUUUAAAAGGGGCAACUGCUCCACUACCAGAUGGACCUGCGUUGUAUUAGCUAGUUGGUGAGGUAACGGCUCACCAAGGCGACGAUACAUAGCCGACCUGAGAGGGUGAUCGGCCACACUGGGACUGAGACACGGCCCAGACUCCUACGGGAGGCAGCAGUAGGGAAUCUUCGGCAAUGGACGGAAGUCUGACCGAGCAACGCCGCGUGAGUGAAGAAGGUUUUCGGACCGUAAAGCUCUGUUGUAAGAGAAGAACGAGUGUGAGAGUGGAAAGUUCACACUGUGACGGUAGCUUACCAGAAAGGGACGGCUAACUACGUG